rnacentral:misc_RNA from 1 species
UGAUCAUAUUCAUAACCUCGACCACCGAUGCACCGAUGAGCUUCCGACUAUCGACAGUGACCAUCAGUGGAUACACGCAGUUCCCGUAGUAACCAUUGUCGACAAAGUGGUGGCGAACAUUGGCAGGGAUGCCGAUAGUAAAAUCGGCAUGAUGCUCCAAGAUGAUUGCCCUUGCUCUGGCCUGCCAUAACACUGCUGACAAGAUCUCAAAGGUGGACCAGGUUUGCCCGGUCUGGCUCCUGAACCGGAUUUUGAG